rnacentral:rRNA from 1 species
AUUGAACGCUGGCGGCAGGCCUAACACAUGCAAGUCGAACGAGUGGCGGACGGGUGAGUAAUGUCUGGGAAACUGCCUGAUGGAGGGGGAUAACUACUGGAAACGGUAGCUAAUACCGCAUACCAUCGGAUGUGCCCAGUGGGGAUUAGCUAGUAGGUGGGGUAACGGCUCACCAAGGCGAAGAUCCCUCGCUGGUAUGAGAGGAGGACCAGCCACACGGGGACUGAGACACGGUCCGGACGCCUACGGGAGGCAGCAGUGGGGAAUAUUGCACAAUGGGCGCAAGCCUGAUGCAGCCAUGCCGCGGGUAUGAAGAAGGCCUUCGGGUUGUAAAGUACUUUCAGCGGGGAGGCGUUACCCGCAGAAGAAGCACCGGCUAACUCCGUGCCAGCAGCCGCGGUAAUAC